GCCUGGGUGGCUCAGUCGGUUGAGCGUCUGACUUCGGCUCAGGUCAUGAUCUCACAGUUCGUGAGUUCGAGCCCCGCGUCGGGCU
rnacentral:tRNA from 1 species